GGGGUCCUAGUUAGGGCCCGAGCGUAGCUGCUAAGCAGCUGCGAGAGCCCUCUUGUUCCUGUAGUUUCCUUCUUUUGUUAUUAUUAUUAUUAUUAUUAUUUUUCCUCCCCUUUGAACUGGAAAAUGGCCCACUUCCCACUGGCAAAAACUCAUGAAAUUUGGCAGGACGACCGGGCCUGGUGAAAAAUUUGAUAUUCCGAAGUCGCCCAAACAAGAAAAUGCAAAAUGGCUCCAUAGCGCCCCCUAAGGUGAAAAUUCACACUAUUCACUGUCACGCCUGUACGCUUUGUCAAAAUGACACAAAAAUUGACACACACAUGUAUCUCAAUAAGAUCUACAAAAAAGUCAGUGCGGGCGUAUCUGUCAAAUGUACGGUUAAAGGGUUAUUUUGCAUUUUUUGCCGAUCCGCACACAUUGGAAUUUCGCUAACUCCUCCGAAGGCUUUCGUUCCACCGGCACCACAUUUGCUCAGGCCAAUCUACACCCCAUGGCCAUUAAAAGUUAUUCAAAUCAUGACGCUGCACCCCACGGUUUAGGUUCUAGGGGGCGCCAAAGAUAACCGUAAAAUCCACAUAUUUAAAAGUCUUAUAACUUUUUAUUUUUGUCCCCACUGGCCUCCAAGUUUUCUAGGAUGAUGCAAUGUCCAGCCAUCAACACAUUUGUGAAGGAAUUUUUACUCCCCAAAAGAGCGCCCCCCCAUGGCAGGAGAAAAAAGUCCAUUUUUUCUUGUCCACUAAGGUGAAAAUACACAUUGUUGAGUGCUACGCCUGUAUGUUUUGUCGUAUUGACACAAAAUUUUACAUACACGUGUAUUUCAAUAAGAUCUUCGAAAAAGUCAAUGGCCACGUAUCUGUAAAAUGUACGGUUAAAGGGUUAUUUUGCAUUUUUUGCAGAUUCGCACACAUUGGAAUUUCGCUAACUCCUCCGAAGGCUUUUGUUCCACCGGCACCACAUUUGCUCAGGCCAAUCUACACCCCAUGGCCAUUAAAAGUUAUUCAAAUCAUGACGCUGCACCCCACGGUUUAGGUUCUAGGGGGCGCCAAAGAUAACCCUAAAAUCCACAUAUUUAAAAGUCUUAUAACUUUUUAUUUUUGUCCUCACUGGCCUCCAUGUUUUCUAGGAUGAUGCAAUGUCCAGCCAUCAACACAUUUGUGAAGGAAUUUUUACUCGCCAAAAGAGCGCCCCCCCAUGGCAGGAGAAUAAAGUCAAGUUUUUCCUGUUCAUCAUUCAAUGGCUCAAACGCACUGCUCUCUCGGCAAAAGCGAAAGGAGGAGCAACUUGCCAUUUGGAUAUAUCUUAGCUGUGUUUGUGCCCUCACUCAUGGUCCAGACUUUUUUCAAAUAGGACAUGGAGUUUUUCUGCAGCGAGCGCUUUGGUAGAAACUGCGCCUCCCGUUCAUUAUAAUGGUAAAUGACCACAAACAAGUGCGCACACCAUCUUUGGACCUUGAGUGUGACGCGAUCGGGUGGGGGAGGCGGUCGCGCUGGGGGCGGCGUGACACGGCUCGGGCCCGCCAGUGCCCCAACGGGGCCCUAGUUCUUUCUUUCUUUCUUCUUUUUCCUCCCCUUUGAACUGGAAAAUGGCCCACUUCCCACUGGCGAAAACUCAUGAAAUUUGGCAGGACGACCGGGCCUGGUGAAAAAUUCGAUAUUCUGAAGUCGCCCAAACAAUUAAAUGCAUAAUGGCUCCAUAGCGCCCCCUAAGGUGGAAAUUCACACUAUUGACUGUCACGCCUGUACGCUUUGUCAUAUUGACACAAAAAUUGACACACAUAUGUAUCUCAAUAAGAUCUACAAAAAAGUCAGUGCGGCCGUAUCUGUCAAAUGUACGGUUAAAGGGUUAUUUCGCAUUUUUUUCCGAUCCGCACACAUUGGAAUUUCGCUAACUCCUCCGAAGGCUUUCGUUCCACCGGCACCACAUUUGCUCAGGCCAAUCUACACCCCGUGGCCAUUAAAAGUUAUCAAAAUCAUGACGCUGCACCCCAAGGUUUAGGUUCUAGGGGGCGCCAAAGAUAACACUAAAAUCCACAUAUUUAAAAGUCUUAUAACUUUUUAUUUUUGUCCUCACUGGCCUCCAAGUUUUCUAGGAUGAUGCAAUGUCCAGCCAUCAACACAUUUGUGAAGGAAUUUUUACUCCCCAAAAGCGC